CUGCACAGUCAAGUCGUCUUGGUAUUGUCUCUAGUGCGUCUGUCUCCCUUCGGCGUCUGCUCGUCCAUCGUUUUACGGAAUGGGCUCCGAACAAAGCAAAGAAACUGACGGCGACGAAAAACCAGUUGCCCCUGAUCAAAAUGGACCAACUGAUCAUGAUCAUGAUGCUGUUGUCUCACCACAGCAGUUUAGCAGCGGCCAAAUUGCCGGCUCGGCUCAUGCAACUUUGGAGCUUGCGCGCGGCGGCCCGCUGGAAAAUGCGUCAGCGAACAAAAAAUGUCAGGCAGCUAUUUCUACCUGCCACAUCUUGAGUUGGCCACUCCUGAAAGUGGUGUGAACCAGUACCCUGUGCACCCGAGGAGCGGAGGAAUUGCAUGCAGCACGGUUGAUAAAUCAAAGUAAGCGGUAUAGGAGGUGCUUAAGGUGCUCCCUGCCAGCACUCUGCUCGUGCUGGAGGAUUCCCUGCUCUCAGAAGCACGCAAGCUCUGCUUGAGCGCAGCAGCUGCAUUCACCAAAUUACCCUACCAGCAGUCAGGGAGAGCUGGCUGCUUUCAACUGGCGUUACGGAGGCGCCGCGGUGUAUGACGACAGAUCUGAGCCGUCAAUGGAGUUAGGACAGAACCAGCAGACCACCAGCAGCAUGCCUGGUACGAUGGUGCCAAACCAGCAGAAUUACAGCAACACAUCAGCUGCCGACCAUGGCCACACAGGGAUCCAUUGAAGAUGCCGUUUUUUCCAGCAUGCAAAAAUUUUUCGCCAGUAUUCACAAUCAGGCCUCUGAGAAAGAAGCUCCUGCUUUGCCUGGCCUCAAAUCUGCUGAGAGCAACACAAAAAAGAAGGAAAAAGAGUUGGAAGAUCUGCUUUCACAUUCAAUUUUUAAGACUGACACCUCUCCCAACACCUCUGCACAACAGUCAACAAAGAGGAAAGCCUACAAAGCAUUCGCCUCUGGAUGCUACAAGAAGUUCAAGCAGAUGAAUGCCGACGGCAAAAAAUCCAUUACCAAGAAAAAAGUUGGAGAACUUUGGGCCAAUCUGACGGAAGAGCAACAGUUGGCGUGGGGUGUCGAUGGUAGUAGCGAGGAGGAAGACUAGAGCUGCUAAUGGAGGAGGAAGAGCAGCGGCCAGCACUCUUUCAGGUACUUUGGAAACAGGGUGGCAAACGAACUUUCCUCCAACAGUCUGGCCUUCAUUUCUCCUGCCUUGAACUCGGGCAGUUUCAAACUCCACGCAUUGUCCACCGGCUCCGUCGAGGUCGGCAACUUGCUCUGCUCUUCCUCCUCCAUUAUUUGUAUGCUGUGUUGAAUGUUAAACUUAAUUGAUGAGGACUUAAUUUUGAGUGUCUGGCGCUUGCCUAUAUUGAAAAAUGUUGAUGGAAAAUUACUAAUACUAAUGGACAUUAAAAUUAAACUUAAUUAUGUUGAAUCAUAUGAAAGUGAAGAAAAACUAAUAUUUUUUUGGGUAAAAAAAAUUUUCCAAAUUUAAAAUAAUUAAAAAAAAAAUACCUUUGUUAAUAUUUAGGAUGAAAAAAUUUGAUUUUGAACUUUUAUAAAGAUGUAAAUUUAAUUUUCACGGCCAAAAUUACUUUUUUUGCCGUAAGUUGAUGUUGAGUAUUGCGAAAAGGUCUGUAUCUCGGUAACUAAUAGUCCGAAUUUGACAAAUUGAUAAUGAAAAUGACCGCAAAAAUAUUUUUUUUCUAAUAAAUGAUUUGUUUGAAAUUUAAGAAUUUUAUUGGUUUCCAAAAUACCAGAUUUAAAAAACACAUUUUCAAAAUAAUUAAAAAAUUCAAGCGACACGCUGUUAAUCGGUUUUUAAUCCAAGAAAACAAAAAUUGACUUUAUUUUGAGCAAUUUCAUAGAAUUUUUUUUUUAUUUGAUCCAGCCGUUGCUGAGAAACAGGCCUUGAAAGAAACCCUUGAAUUGAACUUCAUAUAAUAUAAUUCAAAAUAUUUUUGCUCUUGAAAAUGCAUGUUAAAUGAAAAAAAAUGUGUCCUGUGAACAAAAUUUCAAACAUUUUAAAUUAGUUUCAUCAUAAUUCUGAUUAUUUCUAAAUAUAUCCACAUACAGUGCUAAUUGAUACCUUGGCUUGCAGAGCUGCAUUAAAUUAACGACAAAAUUAAGUAUUUUUUUCACAGGAAUAUAUAUUCAUGUCUUAUUUUCUUGGGUUUAAAUAGCUCAUCAGAAGUCCAUUUUUACGUUGAGAUUCUACCCUGAUUGAUAUGUUAUAAGAAAUGAAUAAAAAGUUUACAAAAUA